UCUCUUUCUAAAAUAGUGUUACUCCGUGUGCUCAAUACCAGCUGAUUAUUUCAUUCUCUCUCAUACUUUCUCUCUCUACAAACUAGAGUGUAAGAACAAGCUUUGUUUUGUCUGAAGUUUCAUGGACUUCGACUCAAACUGAGAAAAACGCACAAAAUCCAUUUCAGGAACCGUGUUGUGUUGUGUUGUAUUGUGUAACUUUGGUACUGUAGUGUAUUGUGAUUGGUGUAAAAGUUGUCAGUAUAAUAGAGUAUUUGUACCGUUUUGAAGUUGCAAUCAAUGGACAAUAACGUGGGUCAAGAUUCAUUUGAUAAGUCUAGGGUUUUAAAUGUGAAGCCAUUGAGGACUCUUGUUCCUGUGUUCCCUUCACCAUCUAAUCCUUCUUCGUCUUCAACUCCACAAGGUGGUGCUCCUUUUGUUUGUGCUUCUCCUGCUGGUCCUUUCCCCACUGGUGUUGCGCCCUUUUACCCUUUCUUUGUAUCGCCCGAAUCUCAGAGGCUUUCCGAACAGAAUGCACCGACCCCGCAACGUGCUACACCGAUAUCUACUGCAGUUCCGAUUAAUUCAUUCAAGACUCCAACUUCGGCGACGAAUGGAGAUGUUGGUUCGUCACGGAGGACUAGCCGGAAUCGCGCUGCACAUAUCACAGAGGAAGAAGGCUACAACAAUACUGAGAUGAAUGAACUUGAUGUAGAAGAUGGAACUGGGAAUGGGAGUUCAAAGCGCAAGAAGAGGGGAAGGGCAAAGCGUGCUAGCGGUGCUGGUGCUGGUGCUGUUACGGGUGUUAGUGGUGUGGUUCCUGUUGAUGUUGAUCUGGAUGUGGUGGCUAAUGAUAUUCUUCAAUCAAUUAACCCCAUGGUUUUUGAUGUCAUAAAUCAUCCGGAUGGUAGCAGGGACUCAGUUUUAUUUACACUUAUGAUAUAUGAAGUGAUGCGAAGAAAGCUUGGACAAAUUGAAGAGUCAACUAAGGAAGCUCAUACUGGAGCUAAGCGGCCUGAUUUGAAGGCAGGCACAGUUAUGAUGACCAAAGGGGUUAGGAGUAACGGCAAGAAAAGGAUUGGAAUUGUGCCUGGUGUUGAGAUAGGGGAUAUUUUCUUUUUCCGAUUUGAGUUGUGCUUAGUGGGAUUACAUGCACCUUCUAUGGCUGGAAUCGAUUAUUUGGGUUCCAAAGCAAGUCAAGAGGAAGAGCCAUUGGCUGUUAGUAUUGUCUCGUCUGGAGGGUAUGAAGAUAAUACUGACGAUGGGGAUGUGCUGAUUUACAGUGGCCAAGGUGGAGUUAAUCGCGAGAAGGGAGCAAGUGAUCAAAAACUAGAAAGGGGUAAUCUUGCAUUGGAGAAGAGCAUGCAUAGAGGUAAUGACGUGAGAGUAAUUAGAGGUUUGAAGGAUGUAAUGCAUCCAUCAGGGAAGGUAUAUGUCUAUGAUGGUAUUUACAAGAUUCAGGAUUCAUGGGUUGAGAAAGCAAAGUCCGGUUUUAAUGUAUUCAAGUAUAAAUUAGUUAGGAUGCCCGGACAGCCUGAAGCAUAUGCAACAUGGAAAUCCAUUCAACAAUGGACCGAUAAGUCGGCUCCAAGAACCGGGGUUAUAUUGCCUGAUCUUACUUCUGGGGCUGAAAAAGUGCCUGUUUGUCUUGUGAACGAUGUUGAUAACGAGAAGGGCCCUGCAUAUUUCACUUAUAUUCCUACUCUCAAGAAUUCGAAAGCAAUUGCUCCUGCGGAACCUGCUGCUGGAUGUUCUUGUGUUGGUGGAUGUCAACCUGGAAAUUACAACUGUUCCUGCAUUCAAAAGAAUGGAGGUUUACUUCCGUAUUCUGUAGCUGGGUUAGUCGCGGAUCUAAAAUCCGUGAUACAUGAGUGUGGUCCUUCUUGUCAGUGUCCCCCUACUUGCCGAAACCGGGUUUCCCAAGUUGGCCUGAAAUUUCGUUUGGAGGUGUUCAGAACCAAGAAUAAAGGUUGGGGUCUAAGAUCGUGGGAUGCUAUUCGAGCUGGAACUUUUAUAUGUGAGUAUGCAGGGGAAGUCAUAGACAGUGCUAGAGCAGAGAUGCUUGGUGGUGAGAAUGAAGACGAGUACAUUUUUGAUUCUACUCGCAUCUAUCAGCAGCUGGAUGUUUUUCCUGCUGACAUUGAAGCUCCGAAGAUCCCAUCCCCGCUUUAUGUAACGGCAAAAAAUGAAGGAAAUGUUGCUCGGUUUAUGAAUCAUAGCUGCUCUCCAAAUGUGUUGUGGCGUCCGAUUGUACGCGAAAAUAAGCAUGAAUCAGAUCUCCACAUUGCUUUCUUUGCAAUUAGACACAUCCCUCCUAUGGUGGAGUUAACUUAUGAUUAUGGGAUAAACCUUCCUCUCAAAGCUGGUCAAAGGAAAAAGAAAUGCUUAUGUGGAUCUGUGAAAUGCAGGGGUUACUUUUGUUAAUUGUCUGGCGAGUUUUGGACGAGGUGGCCCCUUAAUAAUUGUACUUAUGGAUAAGUUCUAGUUUAUGUCAGACAGCAGCAGGAAUGGAUUAUUUAGAAAGAUGUUAGCACACCAAUUUUUCCUGUCAUUUUGGCAGUUGUAGUGAAUUGGCACAAGAAACAUCAGGUUUUCAACUUUUGAAAAGUUAACUGUAACUCUUGUAAGACUCAUUUUGUGUAAGUUAUUUCCGUUUGGCUGCUAGCUUACUGAUAUUUAUUUCUCUUGGGAAGGAUUGCGAGAAGGAUCUCUUUGUCCAUUUGAUAAGGAUAAACUGAAGAUGUAGAUUCAAAUAUUUAGUUUGUUUGCUGUAGUUUGCCGAAUUCGCCAGAUUAUUUUGUGGCAAUAUCAAUGAUUAUUUUGUGUCUA